rnacentral:rRNA from 1 species
UACGUAGGGUGCAAGCGUUUGUCCGGAAUCAUUGGGCGUAAAGCGCGUGUAGGCGGUCCGGUAAGUCCGCUGUGAAAGUCGAGGGCUCAACCCUCGAAUGCCGGUGGAUACUGUCGGGCUUGAGUACGGGAGAGGCGAGUGGAAUUCCCGGUGUAGCGGUGAAAUGCGCAGAUAUCGGGAGGAACACCAAUGGCGAAGGCAGCUCGCUGGGACGUGACUGACGCUGAGACGCGAAAGCGUGGGGAGCAAACAGG